CUCUCGGCGGGAACAUGUGUUUCCAAUCAUCGGAGUAGCAGUGAGUCACCACCAACAGCUGCCGCUGUCUCCAUCUCCCUGCACUCACCUUCAGCCCCCUGUGCCGACAGCCCAGGCUCUGCCCCCACCCGGCUCUGGCUCAGCCAGCCUGACCCCCUGGAGUCCUGGGUGUCCUCCGGCCUGUGGGCCUCCCAGCGCCGCUAGCUCCCUGGUCUGAAGCAGUGCCUGCCUCCUCCACCUGGAUCACCCUGACUCAACCUCCAGGUCCCACUCGAGACAUCCCAGACAGCCCCCCCAGACCACCCCAACCCUGCUGGCGCCCGUCCAUUGUCCUGGGUCGCACCACAGUCACCGCACCCAGCACACUCUUUGCAAUGGUCUCUGUCUCUUUCAUAUUAAAGGAUGGUUUGCGCUGCAGGAAGGAGGGGUCACUCCCCAUCCAUUUCCCUGACGUCUGCACAGCCCAUGGCUGGUGCCCAGUAAAUACCAGUUGAAUGAAUACAUGAACUAUAGCCUUAAGAGGUUACAGUCAGUAGGGGAGACAGACAUCAGAAUGAGAAAUCUAUGAGAUAAAAUACAGGGAGUCUGGAUGAAGUCAGGGUGAUGAGCCACAGAAAUGCGGGGUCCACCUCUGCCGGUUGCUAGGACGACUGCAUCUCCGCCCCGCCCCAGCUGGGCCCCUCCCCGGGGCUGCAGCGCAUCGCCUCACUCUCAGCUGGCUGUUGCCUGGUGAGCAGGGGUUGGAGGCCAGGCCGGUCUUAAUGAGGAAGGAUGGCUGAAUGCGGGGCAGGCAGUGUCUGAUGGGGCUGGGAGUGACUGUGGGCUCUCUCAUCAACGAGGCCACAUCUAGGGCGUUCUGCUACCUCCUUCAAGGGGUCAGAACCACAGUCCCACAGGACAGGCAGCACCGACAGCGACCCAGAGCACCCUCUACCCCAGCAGGGAGCCCAGCCCAGUGCAGGUGCGGUGGGACACCACCUGCCCAGACAUCGGAGCCUUCCUCAUGGGCAUCCACAGCAACACGGCUCUGGCUGGGUGGCACCUUCGAGGGGAGGCAAGCAGGGGCCGGUGAAUGCAGGGGACGCUGAGGGGUGACGAGCCGUCAGCCUUGUUCCUGGGCCGGAGAGCACCAGGACAGAACCAGGGUAGCCAGUCACGCAAGAGGCAAGGCAGAGUGUGAUGGGUGACAGGGCUGUCACAGGUGUCCACAGAGCCUAGGGGCCCUCUGGGGGCUGAGAGGAAGGGUGGCCAUGCCAAAAAGUGAGUUAACGAGUCAGACUCAAAUCUCCAGAAACCAGCUGGGAAUGGCGAGAAGGAUCUGAAUCGCUUUCCAAGAAGCUUGGCUCCUUCUCACCUUUCUCCUGCCUCACUGCCUCUGAUCUCGGUGGUAGUGACCACAGCCACCCCCAAGCCUGCUCUUCCUGCUGUCCAGCACUCCAGCUCAAGGUUGAAUGAGGACCUUCAGGAACUCUGCCCCUCACCCCAACCCAUCCUCCCCAGGAGGAAUCCAGGGACUCAGACCUGUCCCAGGCUUCAGGAAGCCGGUUCCAGAGGACGUGAGGCUGAGUUUGAAACUGGAGCAUGGGACAGCCGCCAGCUCCGCCAAGCCAGUCUCCCUUCUGUUUGUACGAGGUGAUGACAUCAUGGCCAUGGGGCGUCACUCACACGGAGGAGGAGGAGGAAGGCCAGCUGGCGAGAAACCUGAGCCUCCCCUGGCCAGGCUUCCAGGCAAGGCAAACCCGAAACCAUGCAAGUCAGCCUCCACAAAUCCCUGCUGAGCUGGGCAGCCGGUUCCUCCACUGUCCACCCCUCCCUCAUGGCCAGCUCCGGUCCCCAGCACGCCAGCUGAGGCUGCUUCCUGGGGAGAGCCAGUGAUGGAGAAGCCCUGGGGACCGUCU
rnacentral:lncRNA from 1 species